rnacentral:rRNA from 1 species
UUAAAUUAUAAAAAUUUAUUCUUGAUUAGUAUUAGUUAUAUUCUUUAAAAUUAAAAAAUUUGGCGGUAUUUUAUUCAAUUCAGAGGAACCUGUCCUGUAAUUGAUAAUCCACGAUUAGAUAAAUUUAUUUUUUUAGCUUGUAUAUCGUUGUUUAUGAAUUUCUUUUCAAGGAAAAUUUUCGUUUAUUUUAAUUAAAACGGAUUUCAGAUCAAGGUGCAGCUUAUGGAUAAAUAGAGAUGGGUUACAAUAAAUAUAUUUCUGUUUAUUUAAUUUUAAUAUUAAAUUUAAAUUGGAUUUGAAAGUAAUUAUAAAUAUAUUUUUAUAAUGAUUUUGUUCUAAAAUAUGU